AUGGAAGGGCCAUCGCUCAACGGAUAAAAGCUACCCCGGGGAUAACAGGCUUAUCUCCCCCAAGAGUUCACAUCGACGGGGAGGUUUGGCACCUCGAUGUCGGCUCAUCGCAUCCUGGGGCUGUAGUCGGUCCCAAGGGUUGGGCUGUUCGCCCAUUAAAGCGGUACGCGAGCUGGGUUCAGAACGUCGUGAGACAGUUCGGUCCCUAUCCGUCGUGGGCGUAGGAAAUUUGAGAGGAGCUGUCCUUAGUACGAGAGGACCGGGAUGGACAUACCUCUGGUGUACCAGUUGUCGUGCCAACGGCAUAGCUGGGUAGCUAUGUAUGGACGGGAUAAGUGCUGAAAGCAUCUAAGCAUGAAGCCCCCCUCGAGAUGAGAUUUCCCAACUUCGGUUAUAAGAUCCCUCAAAGAUGAUGAGGUGAAUAGGUUCGAGGUGGAAGCGUAGCGAUACGUGGAGCUGACGAAUACUAAUCGAUCGAAGACUUAAUCAAU
rnacentral:rRNA from 1 species